UGCCAGCAGCCGCGGUAAUACGUAGGGUGCGAGCGUUGUCCGGAAUUACUGGGCGUAAAGAGCUCGUAGGUGGUUUGUCGCGUCGUCUGUGAAAUUCCGGGGCUUAACUCCGGGCGUGCAGGCGAUACGGGCAUAACUUGAGUACUGUAGGGGAGACUGGAAUUCCUGGUGUAGCGGUGAAAUGCGCAGAUAUCAGGAGGAACACCGGUGGCGAAGGCGGGUCUCUGGGCAGUAACUGACGCUGAGGAGCGAAAGCAUGGGGAGCGAACAGGAUUAGAUACCCUGGUAGUCCAUGCCGUAAACGGUGGGCGCUAGGUGUGGGUUUCCUUCCACGGGAUCCGUGCCGUAGCUAACGCAUUAAGCGCCCCGCCUGGGGAGUACGGCCGCAAGGCUAAAACUCAAAGGAAUUGACGGGGGCCCGCACAAGCGGCGGAGCAUGUGGAUUAAUUCGAUGCAACGCGAAGAACCUUACCUGGGCUUGACAUAUACAGGAUCGCGCCAGAGAUGGUGUUUCCCUUGUGGCUUGUAUACAGGUGGUGCAUGGUUGUCGUCAGCUCGUGUCGUGAGAUGUUGGGUUAAGUCCCGCAACGAGCGCAACCCUUGUCUUAUGUUGCCAGCACGUUGUGGUGGGGACUCGUAAGAAACUGCCGGGGUUAACUCGGAGGAAGGUGGGGAUGACGUCAAAUCAUCAUGCCCCUUAUGUCCAGGGCUUCACACAUGCUACAAUGGUCGGUACAGUGGGUUGCCAGUCCGUGAGGGCGAGCUAAUCCCGUAAAGCCGGUCUCAGUUCGGAUCGGGGUCUGCAACUCGACCCCGUGAAGUCGGAGUCGC
rnacentral:rRNA from 1 species